GAUGAACGCUGGCGGCGUGCCUAAUACAUGCAAGUCGAGCGAAUGGAUUAAGAGCUUGCUCUUAUGAAGUUAGCGGCGGACGGGUGAGUAACACGUUGGUAACCUGCCCAUAAGACUGGGAUAACUCCGGGAAACCGGGGCUAAUACCGGAUAACAUUUUGAACCGCAUGGUUCGAAAUUGAAAGGCGGCUUCGGCUGUCACUUAUGGAUGGACCCGCGUCGCAUUAGCUAGUUGGUGAGGUAACGGCUCACCAAGGCAACGAUGCGUAGCCGACCUGAGAGGGGGAUCGGCCACACUGGGACUGAGACACGGCCCAGACUCCUACGGGAGGCAGCAGUAGGGAAUCUUCGGCAAUGGACGAAAGUCUGACGGAGCAACGACGCGUGAGUGAUGAAAGCUUUCGGGUCGUAAAACUCUGUUGUUAGGGAAGAACAAGUGCUAGUUGAAUAAGCUGGCACCUUGACGGUACCUAACCAGAAAGCCACGGCUAACUACGUGCCAGCCGCCGCGGUAA
rnacentral:rRNA from 1 species